UCAACAAAAAGUGCUGAUAAUGUUAUAAUUAAUUAGUUCUGACAUUAUAUUUUUGUGUUUUGUUGCAGAAACCAACUGUUGAGGUUCCAUCUCAACAUUCUCCGGAUUCAGAUGUGAGCCAUUAACUGACUUCAUCCCUCCAACAGAAACCAACUGUUUGAGGUUCUAUCUCAACAUUCUCUAGAUUCAGAUGACAGCCAUAAACCGACUUCAUCCCUCCAACAGAUUGACAGCAGGACAAAUCGCUG